rnacentral:snoRNA from 1 species
UUUGGGAAAUGAUGCUAAAAAUGCAAUCAGAGGAGUCAUCUCUGCUGAAUUAUUAUUUGCACGUCAGUCUGAUCCCAAA